rnacentral:rRNA from 1 species
AGCGAACGCUGGCGGCAGGCUUAACACAUGCAAGUCGAGCGGGCACCUUCGGGUGUCAGCGGCAGACGGGUGAGUAACACGUGGGAACGUACCCUUCGGUUCGGAAUAACGCUUGGAAACUAGCGCUAAUACCGGAUACGCCCUUAUGGCGAAAGGUUUACUGCCGAAGGAUCGGCCCGCGACUGAUUAGCUAGUCGGUGGGGUAACGGCCUACCAAGGCGACGAUCAGUAGCUGGUCUGAGAGAAUGAUCCGCCACACUGGGACUGAGACACGGCCCAGACUCCUACGGGAGGCAGCAGUGGGGAAUAUUGGAAAAUGGGCGCAAGCCUGAUCCAGCCAUGCCGCGUGAGUGAUGAAGGCCGUAGGGUAGUAAAGCUCUUUUGUCCGGGACGAUAAUGACGGUACCGGAAGAAUAAGCCCCGGCUAACUUCGUG